GGUGGGAUGGCCAAGCGGUUAAGGCAAGAGGCUGCAACCCUCUGAUCGAGAGUUCAAAUCUCUCUCUCACCU
rnacentral:tRNA from 2 species